CCUGUGGUUUCAAGAUGGCUGCUAUAUGUUGCACAAGGAGAAAUACAAACCGAAAGAGUUGCAAUGUAAGUAGCAUAUGGAUAAAUCCAGGAAAGAAAUUACCAAUUAAAUACAGGUAAAGUCAUCAGAAUCAUCUCAUUAGGGAGUUCUCCAUCGGGUCAAACGAAUAGCCAAGAAUCUAUCCCCUAGAUGUUUUGGAUCUCUUUCUUGAGCAUCUAGACGUAUUUAGGAACUGCCUAAAGGUAACAAAGCCUCAAAUUUAAUUGAUGUAC